AGAAACCGCCACACACUAUCUAACUACGAAUAGUUUCCUAUCCAUUCUUGAAAUAUCUCUGUGAAUAUAAAACCUGCUGUGAUCAUGGUGAGCGCUCCUCCUCUCGCGGUGAUCUUUAUCCUGACAUCUGCGCUCAUCUGCAGCUUCACCAACGCUGCCAAACUCAACAUACCUAAAGUGUUAUUACCUCUUGCCAGAAGCACAAAAAUCAAUUUUACACUGGAAGCAAGUGAAGGAUGUUAUCGCUGGUCGUCGAACCGGCCGGAGGUGGCCAGCGUGGAGGCGGUGGAGGUGGACGAGCGCCAGUGCUCUCAGAGGGCCGUCCUGCAGGCCCGCUCCACCCAGCCCUCCCGCCUCACCAGCAUCAUCCUCGCUGAAGACGUCUUGACAGGACAGGUGCUGCGCUGUGAUGCUAUAGUGGAUGUGAUCAGUGAGAUCCAGAUCGAGUCCACCACGCGAGAGCUUCACCUGGAGGAUUCCCCACUGGAGCUGAAGAUCCAUGCGCUCGACUCCGAGGGGAACACCUUCAGUACUCUAGCCAGUCUGUUGUUCGAGUGGACCAUCGUGAAGGACGCCGAAAUGGCAGGUUUCCCUGAUUCCUACAACACCCUACAGGUCCUGAGGUUUGCGGAGUCGGCGUACACUCCUCCAGCGUAUAUCUCUGAGAUGGAGCGAGUGGGACAUCAGGGCGAUAUCAUCCUCGUUUCAGGAAUCAAAACCGGCCACGCCAAACUCAAAGCCAAAAUACAAGAGGCCAUCUAUAAGGAUGUCGGUGCUGCCGAGGUCCGACUGCUGAUCCUGGAGAACAUUCUCUUGAGUCCUGCGUAUGAUGUGUAUCUGCUGGCUGGCACCUCCAUCACAUACAAAGUCCAGAAAAUCCGUCAGGGAAAGAUUACAGAGCUGUCCAUGCCCUGUGAUCAGUAUGAGCUCCAGCUUCAGAACGGUGUGGUCACCGCUAAUGGAAACCCUGAGGCUCCUGUCGCACACCUGGACCAGAGCAGCUCUACAGUCUUUGCCCUUCAGCAUGGACACACCAACAUCGUGCUGGACCACAAGAGUCUCGGGAUGCAGGGCGUUUCCCGACUCCCCAACAGCACGAUCUAUGUUGUGGAGCCUGGAUACUUGGCAUUCAAGAUUUAUCCUGAGGAUCGCUGGGUCCUUGAGACAGGGAGGAAAUAUGAGAUCUUCAUUGAAGUGUUUGAUAAGUCAGGCCACAAGCUUUAUCUGUCUGACAAUAUCCGUAUAGAAACCACAUUCCCUAGCGAGUACUUUGUGGUUCUGGAAUCGUCUGUUAAUGGAUCUUACCACCACGUGAGAGCUUUGAGACGAGGUCAGACUGGGAUUGAUGGCACACUGAAAGCAGUCGUCGAUCAAGCAGGAAGUGUCCACGCACUCUCUGUUCCUGUGCGUAACGAGCAGGACGUGGAGAUCUACGACCCCAUCGUCCUCAGACCCGCCAUCCUCACCUUCCCAUGGCAGCCUAAAGAGGGAGCCUACCAGUACACCAUCCAGGCGACUGGAGGGAGUGGGAACUUCAGCUGGUCGUCCACUAACGCGGCCGUCGCCACGGUCACAGUGAAGGGCGUGAUGACCACGGUCCGGGACGUCGGCGUCAGUGCGGUCUACGCCCACGACGUCAGAAAUCCCCUGCACUACGGAGACAUGAAGGUGUAUGUGAUCGAGCCGGUGGGCAUGGAGUUCAGCCCGUGUGCAGUGGAGGCCCGCGUGGGCCUGAACCUGGACCUGCCGCUGCGCAUCUUCGGUCAGCUGGCCGGAGAGAGGGUGACGCUCAGUGACUGCUCACACUUCGACAUGCAGGUGGACAUGGAGAGCCACGGCCUCUUCCAGCUGCUGGAGGGUAGACUUGCUCCAGGUCAGGGCCACUGCAGCGGGGUUCGUGUUAAGGCCUUGACCCCUGGUUACACCAACCUGUUGGUCAGCUAUACCCAUAGUAAUGUUCACCUCAGUGCAAAGAUCACCAUCGCCGCCUACCCGCCUCUCAAGCCGGUUGACCCCGUGGCUGUGGCUGUGGUGACGUUGGGCUCCUCUAAAGACAUGCUGUUUGAAGGAGGCCCGAGGCCCUGGGUGCUGGAGCCAUCCAAGUUCUUCAGGAACCUGACGGCUGAGGACCACAGCAGCGUUGCGCUGUCUCUGCAGGGCCCUGCCUCGCGCUCCUACUCCCGACACCUGGUCAGAGCCACGUGCAGAGCUCUGGGAGAACAGAUCUUAGCAGUGACUGUUGGGAACCAGCCCACCAUGACGAACCCCUUCCCUGCGGUGGAACCGGCUGUUGUGAAGUUUGUGUGUGCUCCUCCAUCACGCCUCACACUGACCCCCAUCUACAUGAGCCCUCAGCUGGACGUGUCCUGCCCUCUGCUGCAGCAGAACAAACAAGUGGUGCCCGUCUCCAACUACCACAACCCCGAGCUGGAUGUGUCGGCCUUCGACCAGCAGGGACGGAGGUUUGAUAACUUCAGCUCGUUGAGUAUGAUCUGGGAGUCCUCCAGAGUCUCCCUGGCCAGCAUCGAGCCGACCAUGCCCAUGAAACUACACGUGCACGAGGACGACAGCAAGCAGAAAAAACUUCACGGUCGCCAGACGGUGCUGGUGCAUCAUGAGUCGGGUGUGGCAGCGAUCACUGUGACCGCGGUCGGCUAUCAGACGCCGCACCUGGAGCGCGCCGCGGUUCCCAGCGGAUUUGACCCUCUGAGCCCCGUCUCAGCCACGCUUGACCUUCUGUUAGUAGAGGACGUGAGGGUGACCCCUGACACCAUCACCAUAUACAACCAUCCCGAUGUGGCGGCGGAUCUGACUCUUCAGCAGGGCUCCGGUUAUUUCUACAUCAACGCAAGCGUCGGGGGGAUCGCAGAGGUCACGUUUCAGGAGUCCCAGGGAAUUGCUCAGGUUGUCCCAGCUCAGGCGGGGGUCUUGCAGGUGAUGGUUCAUGACCUUUGCUUGACCUUUCCUUCCCCCGCCACGGCUACAGUUCACAUCUCUGAUAUUCUGGAGGUUUAUGUGCGUGUGGUAGACAAGGUUGAGAUCGGCAAGUCAGUCAAAGCAUACGUUCGGGUUUUGGACGGCAACAAGAAGCCUUUCCUGUCCAAGUACUUCUCUGUCAUGAACCUGAAGCUGAGGGCAGCGUCGUCCAUCAUCUCUCUGCAAACUCUGCCCGAUUCAUCAGAGGAAGAUACGGCCACAUUUCUGGUCAAAGGUCUGGUGAUCGGACAAACCAGUGUGUCUGCUUUCGUCAUUGACAAAAACGGCAGGAAGAUCACCUCUGCACCCCAACAAAUUGAAGUCUUCCCCCCCUUCAGACUGCUGCCCAGGAAAGUCACUCUGAUAGUUGGAGCAAUGAUGCAGAUCACAUCAGAGGGAGGCCCGCAGCCCCAGUCCAACAUCCUCUUCUCUCUCUCCCGUGACCACAUCGCCUCAGUCAACAGCCUGGGUCACGUCCAGGGCCUGUCGGUGGGCAACAUGAGCGUGACCGGUGUGGUUCAGGCGGUCGACACGGAAACAGGCAAACUAGUGGUGGUGUCAAAGGAUCAAGUGGACAUUGAGGUGGUGCAGCUGAAGGCCAUAAGGAUCCGAGCCCCCAUCACCAGGAUGAAGACGGGGACGCUGAUGCCGGUGUAUGUGAUGGGCCUGAGCAGCAGUCAGACGCCCUUCUCUUUCGGGAACGCUCUUCCCGGCCUCAGCUUCCACUGGUCUGUGACGAAGAGAGACGUUCUGGACGUCCACACACGCCAUGCAGAGGCGUCUGUGCAGCUCAGCGCUGAGCACAACUUUGCCAUGAGUGUGUUUGGCAGGAGUAAAGGCCGCACUGGACUGAGGGUGGUGGUGAAGGCCACUGUUCCUCUGGCGGGACUUCUGGAGGGCAAUGCCCUUGAACUCCAUGAUGAGAUACAGAUUCAGGUCUAUGAGAAACUGCAGCUGUUGAACCCAGAAGUUCAAGCGGAGGAGAUACUGAUGUCACCAAACUCCCUGCUGAAGCUCCAAACUAACAGAGAUGGACAGGGGUCCCUGUCGUACCGUGUGCUGGAUUGUCCGGACAGAGCUGCUCUCAUUCAAGUGGAUGAUAAAGGUCUUCUGACGUCUGGAUCUCUGACAGGAACAGCAUCCUUACAGAUUAGCUCGCAGGAAACAUUCGGCGUCAAUCAAACCAUCAUCAUCGCUGUGAAGGUGGUGACCGUGUCAUACCUGCGUCUGAGCACGAGUCCAGUGAUGUACACGUCUAACAGAGAGACUGUGUCCGCCAUCCCGCUGGGAGCCGUUCUGACCUUCACCGUUCAUUUCCACGACAGCACAGGAGAAACCUUACACAGCCACAACUCACUGCUCAGCUUCUCCACCAACAGGGAUGAUUUGGUGCAGGUGGGUAAGGGUUCGAGUAACGGCACGCUGACGGUGCGGACGGUCAAUGUGGGACUGACUCUGCUGGGGGUGUGGGACUCGGAGCAAGCGGGACUCGCUGACUUCAUCGCUCUACCCGUCCAGCAUGCCAUCCAUCCAGCCGAAGCCCAGCGGCUGCUCGUGGGAGAUGUGGUGUGCUUUUCUGCACAGAUUAUUAAUCAGGAGGGUGCGUCGGGUGUGUGGAGCUCCUCGUCCAGUGCUGUGCUGGAGGUCGAUCCCAGGACUGGAGCCGCAGUGGCCCGAGACAAGGGCACCGUCACCGUCUACUACGACCUACCAGGACAGCUCCGCACUUACAGAGAGGUUUUUAUUGAAGUUGCGACUCGGACCUCUGUCAUGUCCCCCUCAGUGAAGAAGGACAGAGACUCCAAAGUCUUGAUGUCAACCAGGGACACCGGGAGCAACCUCAUUGGAAUCUGCUCCUCGUCGCAGUCGGACAGCAUCGCUCUGCUCCACCCAGAGUCCUCCAUCAGCUGUCAGUUGCACUUCACCAGCAGCGCGGUGGACUUCUCUGCUCACGACGUCUACCACACUCGCACCGCGUUCGACCCCAGCACAGGUUUCUACAGCUGUGCGCUGAGCUUCAAGCCCAUGAACGAGCAGCAGGUGAAGGUGCUGAGCAUGUCCAUGACUGACGUGGACGUCACGGCCGGUGUGCAGGGUCACUUCACCGGUCAGCAGAUCAGCGCUCGACUGCCCGUCAACCCAGGCAUCUACGCGGACCAGACGGACAUCCUCCUGAGCAACCAGCACACGUCUGCGGAUCUGACCAUCUACGGGACGCCAGGCGCACUGCAGCAGCUGGAGGUGAAGAGCAGUUCUCCUGCAGUGGUGAUGGAGCAGAAGGAGGUGUCCCAGAGCUUCCCGAGCUACAUCAGGUACACGGUUAGUGUGGUGAAGCCGCAGGGAGCUCUGACGGCCUCGGUGUCUGUGCGCAGCGGCUCCAGCGAUCAGGUGCUGCUCAUCCCUGUGUCCGUCAUGCAUCUGGCAGCCAGCGCCACUUCUGUGCAAGCACAAAUGGCAGAGGGAGCAGAUGGGCCCAAUAUUCUUCAGCAGUUUAUUGACUCCUAUCAAGUGAUGUUCUUCACUUUAUUCGCUCUUUUGGCGGCCACUGCUGUUGUCAUCAUCGUGUGCCAUUUGCUGUUUUCUCCGAGAGAUCCUGUCAAUCAUCCUGCAUUCAUCCAGAAGACUCCGCCUCCCACAGGUGUAGCUAAGCUGACCGAGAGCCCCUUCAACAACAGCAUGUCUUCAGACAGGAAGGGAAGCCCGAGAUUACGCUUGUAUUCUCCAGACUAUAACUCCAGAUAAACCUCCUCCACCCGAAGACCGAAGAAAGUGCCUUACCAUUGAAUACAGGAGUAUAAGCGUGCUGGAUACGUGCGCAAGAGUAUUGCUUACAUGCUUCAAACAAUAGCUUUUUCAUUUGAAUCAUAUGCCAGGGCUGCAUAGUUUUGUUUGAUUAUUUAAAUGUUUGAUGUGUGCACUCAUUUAUUAUUGUUGCCAUUAAUUUCAGUAGUUUUUUCAUAGCUUGAGAUAGUCUAAGUUUUAGUGAGUUGUGAUGUUAAACGUGUCUUUUUUUCCUUGGAAGCUCAGGACAACCUUUGGAAACUAGUGUGAUUAUGUAGCAUGUUAUUGUGUGAAUAGUGCAACCACUGAUUCCGUCCAAAGUGCUCUUACAAGUGUUUCAUCUGCAAAAAAAUAAUGGCCAGUUGUUUCAUUUCGUGAACAAUAAUAUUUUGAAGAAUUCUUGAGUGCAGCUUCUUUCGGUUAUUGAUGUGAAUGUUCAAAUGUUUUAGGGCUUAGUUCAGUUGACUUGCUUUGGCAGAUUAAGUGGUUCUGGAAGGACCGAACCUACCGCAGCAUUUGACAUGGCCAUUGAUACUGAUACUGAUAAUUCUGUUACUGUGAGUUUGAGUCCGAUUCAACAUUGUGACCAUUUUUGACAGAAAAAAUCCUCAGCCUGUUUAAGUGAGACAGAAAUACUGUUUUAAUGAAUAAUUAGUUUUCUGUCUUUGUAAGCAAGAGCCAUAAUGUGAUUCAUAGAACUGCCGCACUGAGUACAAUGAAUUGUGAUAUCUGUCAUAAUCUAUACACGAGUUUAAUCUGUAAAUGUAACCACUUCUGAGCCUUUGUCAUUGUGUUUGAUCUUGUCUAUCAUACCUCCCUCAAAAAUAAUAAUAACAGCUUGUGCUUUGAGAACAUUGUGCUUUUUUGCAGCAUGUGAUCUAUAAACAUUAAAUAUGCUCUCUUUUUUUACUAUCA